rnacentral:rRNA from 1 species
GAUGAACGCUGGCGGCGUGCCUAAUACAUGCAAGUCGAGCGAACAGACGAGGAGCUUGCUCCUCUGACGUUAGCGGCGGACGGGUGAGUAACACGUGGAUAACCUACCUAUAAGACUGGGAUAACUUCGGGAAACCGGAGCUAAUACCGGAUAAUAUAUUGAACCGCAUGGUUCAAUAGUGAAAGACGGUUUUGCUGUCACUUAUAGAUGGAUCCGCGCCGCAUUAGCUAGUUGGUAAGGUGACGGCUUACCAAGGCAACGAUGCGUAGCCGACCUGAGAGGGCGAUCGGCCACACUGGAACUGAGACACGGUCCAGACUCCUACGGGAGGCAGCAGUAGGGAAUCUUCCGCAAUGGGCGAAAGCUUGACGGAGCAACGCCGCGUGAGUGAUGAAGGUCUUCGGAUCGUAAAACUCUGUUAUUAGGGAAGAACAAAUGUGUAAGUAACUAUGCACGUCUUGACGGUACCUAAUCAGAAAGCCACGGCUAACUACGUG